UUGUUGUUGUUUUCACAGCUGCAGUCAAGUGCUGAGACUCCCAAGAGGGAGAAGGUAUGCUCCUACUGUCUAAGAAGGAUUAUGUUAGACUUUGUUAUUUCCUCUUCAGUACUGCUAUUUUGCCUCUAGUAUUUGACAAUGUAGGGAAAAGAGACCAUCAGUGAUGACCCUGGGCAAUUAUGAAAUAACAGCUGUCCAUGGCAUGGCUGGAUUUUGUAAGUUAGACCGUGUAUCACUUCCCCUCCUGAAGAUUCUGUUCUGAUUGUGUUUAUCUUUGCUGUCAUAUCAACAGUAAGAUGUAAGCCUAGUUAUUAAUCAUCUGGCACCUUUUAAAGAGACACAAUCAUCUCACUGUCUAGCUUUUGCUGCUAUUAAGGGCUGAUGCCCGGAUGUGGGAGGUUCUCAAGCAGGUUCUCGCUUAUUGAGUCCGAAUCAGGGAUGUUCAAAUGUUUGCAGACAAGGGCUCAGUCAGACCUGCAGACUGCAGACACCCCUUUACCUGAUCGGAAAGGGGUGGCCCCACCAGUUUCUCCAGGAUUGUGCUGUCUCUUUCAUAUUUCUCCUGGAGGGCCUAGGUAUACAUUGAAAUGUGUCUAGAGCCUAAGAAGUGUGGGGAAACUCAGCUUUAGGCAGUGGUGAGCCUCGCUGAUUCAAAAUAUCUCAGAGCAGAUGAGGGAGUGGGCUUGCUCUCCUUUCUCCCCCUCUGAGGUCCGCUUGUUUCGAAGGUGACUUGGUGUUGUCCAAAUGCGUCCACGCGGAAUGAAUGCUCAGCUGUGUCUGACUCUUUAUGACCCCAUGGACUGUGGCCCUCCAGGGCUCUCUGUCCAUGGAGUUUCCCAGGCAAAACACUGGAGUGGGCUGCCAUUUCCUACUCCAGGGCAUCUUUCCAACCCAGGGAACAAAUCUGCGUCUCCUGCAUCUCCUUCAUUUGCACGUGACUUCUCUACCCCUGAGCCACCUGCUUUCGUCCAAAUGCCAGACAGAAAAUGUGCUGAACGUCAAAAAGAACAGCAAGUGACGCCGGAGCGAGCUUGUGGAAAGGCUGUCUGCAGUGCGUCCAGUGACAUGAGAAAGAAUGCGGGCUAUCACCUCACACCUCCAACAACUGGUUCCAUUUUUACAUCUCUCCUUCCUCGCUCAUUUCUGCUCAGCACCGUCUUUCUGUUUUCAACUCAGUUCUUUAUGUACAAAUGGAGGAUAACGAAAUCUACUUCAUGUGAUUAUGAUGACAAUUACAUGAGGUAAGCUACAGAAAGUCCCUGGUUUACAUAACAUAUUCUUUAAAUAUCUGAGUUCCCUUCAUUUCACUUUCAGUGACCUGAGAUCUCAUGGUAAGUUGGUAACUCAGUCUAAAAUACUUAUUUUUAGACUUCCUCAUUUAGCAAAAUGAUGACAGUGUUGUUUUUACAAUCGUUACUAUAACAGAAAAGAAGUUUUUUCUUUUCCUCUAAAGUCAUAUAUUUUCCACAGCUGGACUGGUCAAGCCUAGUUAUUCUCCUUUCUGUCAUCUUUCUUCUCAUUUCUGGGGUUUUGUUUUCAUUUUUACAUUUCAGUUUCUGUACGUAAUGAUGAUCAAAGUAUUCACAAAUUCUUGGAAAUGAUUAACCAUCCCCAAACAGAGUAAGUCUCCCCCAACCCAAGGCUUCACUGGAGAGAGUUUAGGAAGGAUGUUGGCAAAGAACAAAGAAGUCCAAGGCAAGGAGCCCAUCUAGGUAAAGUGAAGGUGUGAGUUUGGGCCACUUAAUGGAAUAACGUCGAAGAGAACUCAAGGGCCAACAGAGGAAAGAUAACUCCAAAGAAGUUGUCGUCCAGGACUGAGAACACUCCUUCCCACUCCCAAUUUGGGCAGAAAGCAAUGUGGUAGGAUUCCAGAGUCCUUUCUCACCUCAUUAGUUGGCUUUUUAUUUUAAAACUCCAUUCUGUGUCCUAGACCAAGGACAAGGCAAGACAUGUGUGAGAGUUCAUACCUGUACAGGGUGGCCAUAAAGUCUUGACUCUUAGAUAAUAUUAUUUUAUCAUUUAUGGUAAUGUGACGGCAAUCAAUCUUUUGAAAUAUCUUUGUCUCUUUUUCCAGACUUUGCGGUCACCGUGUGUGUGUGCUUCCCAGGGGGCUCAGUGGUAAAGAUCUGCCUGCCAAUGCAGGACUCUCAGGUUUGAUCCUUGGGAAAGAUCCCCUGGAGCAGGAAUGGCAGCCCACUCCAGGAUUCUUGCCUGAGAAAUCCCAUGGCCAGAGGAUCCUGGCAGAACACAGUCCAUGGGGUGGCAAAGGAGUUGGACACGACUGAGCAACUAAACAACAAAGGACAAGGGUGUGUGUGUGCUCCUGUGACAGUUUGCUCGGGCUGCCGUAACAAAAAUACAAGUGACUAGGGGACUUCCAUUACAAAUAAUUGUGAAUAGAAGAGAAGCGAAAGGCAAAGGAGAAAAGGAAAGGUUCACACAUUUGAAUGCAGAGUUCCAAAGAAUAGCAAGGAGAGAUAAGAAAGACUUCCUUAGCAAUCAGUGCAAAGAAAUAGAGGAAAACAAUAGAAUGGGAAAGUCUAGAGAUCUCUUCAAGAAAAUUAGAGAUAACAAGGGAACAUUUCAUGCAAAGAUGGGCUCGAUAAAGGACAGAAAUGGUAUGGACCUAACAGAAGCAGAAGAUACUAAGAAGUGGCAAGAAUACACAGAAGAACUAUACAGAAAAGCUCUUUACGAAUGAGAUAAUCAUGAUAGUGUGAUCACCAACCUAGAACCAGACAUCCUGGAAUGUGAAGUCAAGUGGGCCUUAGAAAGCAUCACUACGAACAAAGCUAGUGGAGGUGAUGGCAUUCCAGUUGAGCUAUUUCAAAUCCUGAAAGAUGAUGCUGUGAAAGUGCUGCACUCAAUAUGCCAGCAAAUUUGGAAAACUCAGCAGUGGCCACA
ensembl:lincRNA